rnacentral:rRNA from 1 species
UCCCCUAGUGAACCUGCGGAAGGAAUCCAAUUACCCGAAGUAAAACAAACUCAUCCAACCCCUGUGAAACAUACCUAUAACGGUUGCCUCGGCGGGAACAGANGGCCCCGUAACACGGGCCGCCCCCGCCAGAGGACCCCCUAACUCUGUUUCUAUAAUGUUUCUUCUGAGUAAACAAGCAAAUGAAAAUUAAAACUNUUCAACAACGGAUCUCUUGGCUCUCGGCAUCGAUGAAGAACAGCACGCGAAAUAGCGAUAAGUAAUAGUGAAUUGCACGAAUUCACGUGAAUCACUCGAAUCUCUUGAACAGCACACUUGCGCCCGCCAGUAUUCUCGGCGGGCAUAGCCUGUUCGAGCGUCUACUUACAACCCUCAUGGACCCCCGGGCCUGGCGUUGGGGAUCGCGCGGAAGCCCCCCUGCGGGCACAACGCCGUCCACCCAAAUACAGUGGCGGUCCCGCCGCAGCUUCCAUUGCGUAGUAGCUAACACCUCGCAACUGGAGAGCGGCGCGGCCACGCCGUACAAACACCCAGACUUCGUGAAAUGUCUGAUCCAUCGGAUGCACGUCCGUAGUGACCUGCCAGG